rnacentral:rRNA from 1 species
AGCAGCCGCGGUAAUUCCAGCUCCAAUAGCGUAUAUUAAAGUUGUUGCAGUUAAAAAGCUCGUAGUUGAAUUUCGGGAUUGGCGCAUCGGUCGUGCCUCACGGGGUAUGAACUGGUGCAGUCAAUUUCUCACCUUCUGGAGAACCGCGAUGUCCUUAAUUGGAUGCCGCGGGGAACCAGGACCUUUACUUUGAAAAAAUUGAGUGUUUAAAGCAGGCAUUUUUGCUUGAAUACAUUAGCAUGGAAUAAUAAAAUAGGACGGCAUGGUUCUAUUUUGUGGUUUCUAGGACCACCGUAAUGAUUAAUAGGGAUAGUUGGGGGCAUUAGUAUUCAAUUGUCAGAGGUGAAAUUCUUGGAUUUAUUGAAGACUAACUACUGCGAAAGCAUUUGCCAAGGAUGUUUUCAUUAAUCAAGAACGAAAGUUAGGGGAUCGAAGACGAUCAGAUACCGUCGUAGUCUUAACCAUAAACCUAUGCCGACUAGGAUCAGACGAUGUUAAUUUUUANGUACUCGUUCGGCAC